CCAGCUGCUCUGAAGGCUGCAGUGGUGCAGAGGAGUGCGAAGGUGAUGCAGAUGAAUUUUGUUGCCUGUUCUCAAGCAAACGCCUUCCGAACUCAGCCAUAAGUGUCAGAGAGGCCAUGCUGACGCUAAUGGCGUAUACUGCGUCAGUAGGCCCAAACUGGGCGGAUACGGAGAAGCUUUUGAGUGUUAUAAACCUUUUUCUAGGCAUGCCCUUCCUUCCUACUUCGAGCUACAUGCUUAGAAAAGCGUGGAGACAGUGGAUGGGCGGCCUUGUCAAACGCAACUACUUUUGUGAGGCAUGCGAAGCUGUGAUGCUGAAUCCUCGUCAGAAAGAUUUUUUAUGCUUGCACUGCAACACCGCCAACUCGGGUCAAAUUCUUUUUGUUACAUUGGACCUCAGAAGCAAAUUGAAAUCAUGCUUAUCGACAAGUCUGUGUCAAAAGGCUUAAUGGAAUCCUUGAAGAAAAGGGAACUUCAAGCGGAUGAUGGCUCUGUGAAAGACAUCUGUGAUGGGCGGCUUUACAAAGAACAGAUGAAAAACUCUUCAUGGUGUGACAUAUCCCUCACAUUCAACACAGAUGGUGCGAAACUUUUCAAAUGCAACAAAGCUUCAAUAUGGCCAUUUCAGUGUGUGGUGAAUGAACUGCCAUUAUCAUCGCGGUGGAGUAAUGUGCUCUUGUGUGGACUGUAUUUUGGAAAGGGCCACCCAAGAAUGAGUCCAUUCCUUGGAACUUUUGUUAAAAGCCUUAAAGAACUGAACUCUGUCAGGUGGAAGUGUGAUGAACAAGCGCUGUCCGCGAAGGUGCACAUCGCGUGUUGUGUUGAUGCUCGAGCACGUGCAGCAGUGCUCAAUAUGAAGCAAUACAACGGCUACUUUGGGUGCAGUUUCUGCCUUCACAAAAGUGUCCAUAUCCGUGGGUCUCUGAGAUACCCAGUGCCAGAGGAAGCAAGCCACCCAAAUCUGAGGACCAACACAAGUGUCAGGAAGACAUGCGAAUAUAUCUGCAGUCUUGAAAUCCAUCCCACGGCAUAAAGGGAGCUUCAGCACUUGCUUACAUACCCAACUUUGACUUAGUUUGGGCUGUUUGUGCAGACUACAUGCAUUGUGUGCUAGAAGGAGUUGCAAGGCCAUCAUAUGGUUUGGGUCAGCAUAUUCACCAUCAUAUAUGGAAAGCCAUCUCAAAUCAAGAGAGUGGACCAACGAAUGCUCAGUAUUAAGCCACCACAGUGGUUCACCCGACUCCCACGCACUGUGCAGGAAAGAGCGACGUGGAAGGCAAGCGAAUGGAAAUGGUGGGUGUUGUUUUAUGACGCUCCAUGUCUCGAUGGCAUCCUGCCAUCAAACUACCACAGCCAUUUCUGCUUGCUGGUGUCAGCCGUGCACAUUCUACUGAAAUCGAGCAUUAGCAGAGAAGAAAUUAGUGAUGCAAUAGGAGAGCUUUCUAGUUUUGUCUUCAAAAUGCAGAUGCUGUAUGGUGAGACAUCAAUGACUCAAUGUGCAUCAACUUUUGCACCUGCCGAAUAGUGUGGUGGAACUUGGUCCUUUGUGGGCUCACUCCACAUUUGCUUUUGAGUCGGGAAAUGGAGUACUGUUGAAAUGAAUAAGCAGUGCAAAUGGUGUGCCAGUGCAAGUUAUGGAACGGCUUGUGAUGCAGCUACAGCUUGCAAUGCUCAAGAAUACUCUUAAUUUGCAGCCUAAAGUGAAAGAAAUGUGUCAUCAGCUAACAGCUCCAGUAGCUUGCAAAAGUAAUGAAACAAAGACUUUGGGAAGAGGGGUUGUGUGUGGCGUUGUGGACAAUGAGCAAAAGAAUGCAUUUCUUGCGGAGCUUGCCUACAUACCCGAUAAAGUUACCAGCUUCGAGCGCCUUUUAGUUCGAGGCCACCUGCUUCACACCAGUGCAUACCACCGUGCGAAAAAAAACCAGGUACUGUACCUCCAAAUGUACAAUGGGUCAGUUCUAUACUUUCCACAAUGUGUAUGAAAUUUGUGAUAGCUCUUGCAUGUUAUAGCGUACACAGUUGGCCUGUGAAAGGUAUCAUAACAUUGCACGCAUCAGCUCCUGCAUGCCAAAAGAGAAAAAUUUGUAAUGUCUCUUGACAGAGUAGGUAGCAUUCCUGUUCUAAUGUCUCUGGGCAGUUCCUGCUAUGUUGCAGACCUACCCAAUUUGCUUGAGAACGAUUAGAACAAGUGGUAGUCCAUUUAAUAAGAGGCAAGUCAAAAGCGGUUGACAUUGAAGAAUUAGUGUACCAUGUAGUUUGUUGUUCCUUUUUUGUUAUUCGGGAGGGUGAAAUAGAAUACCUUGGCUUUCUUCGAUGUCAACCACUGCUGAGUUGCCCUAACUUUACCUGUGCCAUCGCACCCUCCUUUACUCUUACCAUCUUACUCUUACACAGAGCCCAAUUUACUUAACAUUUACUUCCUUUUUAUACUACGCUACUUCCAGAUAUAUUCCACAUGUUUCACUGCGUAAAACAACCCUUCUUGUUCUAGUUUUAGGCAUAUGCAGUUUCAGCGAGAGCAUGUGGGUUUAAUCUGAGCCUUCUUUCUCUAAUUAUGCCUUAGUACUGCUUUGUACAUAGUUCUACACUAACCUGGAGUAUAUUUUUUCUAAGCUUCAUUUAGAUGGCUUUCUCUUGGUCCUACAUACAUUAGAAGCCCUAAUAUCCUCUAAUUUAUGAUACAAAGGUGGUUAGAUACGCAGAUCCAGCUGAUCUCCAUUCAAUCUGAACUCGCCAAGGAAGACAUCUUCAAAACUUGAAUGUUAGCCAUUUCAGCGGCACCAAUCAAGAACAACUCUUCUUUAGCUGAACGGUGCAAUCUUUAUACUGACCACAUUCUAUUAUUUAUUUGUUUGUUUGUUUGUUUACUUAAAUGACCAUGGUAUAGGCUGCCUUCUAGAAGCUCCGGCAGAGCGAUUACGUAGUAUGACCAGAGUGCAUAUUUUCCCUUCAAGAGACUAUGAAGAAAAGCACAAUUAAUAAAAUAAACAUUUCAAAACACACAUAAUGUGCAUAGUAGCCACACAAUAGUCUUGAGGCUGUCAAAAAGAUAGGUGCAAACGAUGACUCAGUACACAAAACAAGUGCAUGAAAUUACCAGUCCAUCUGAACUGCAAAUCAAGAGGACUUGGGAUUGCUAGAGUUGAUAAGAUUUUAUGAAAGGGUGUGCCAUUGGCUUAUUGGUUGAAGAAUGAACUAUAAACAGUCUGCGGCACUAAAAUGGUUUUAAUGUGUUAAGGCUAUUACAUUUAUUCUGUUUGUCAGAAUUUAUUAGGUUUAAUGUAAGAGUGAAGUCUUAUUUUAGUGCAGUUAAUGCUCAACAACUGCAAGUUAUGUAAUUUCUAGCAAGCUUCUAGUGUCUGGUAUCUGUUACUGAGAUAUGUGUGUUGUAUGCAUUACAAGUAAACCUAAGUGCUUACUUUCUAUGCAUUCUAUGGUACUUAUGUCUGUCUGUGUGCUGGUCCUAGACGGCACCCAUGUAUGUGAGCAAAGGCCUGAUAGAGUCUUGUUUAUCUUAGCUUGGUCGCACUGGUGCAAUGCUUCAAGCGGUGUUUAGUAACCAAAACUAUUUCAUUGCCGCUGUGAAAAUAUACUGGCUAUGUACAUUAUAGCUCAUCUUAGAAUCAACAGGAUCGAGGUGUUGCAAGUUCAACAGCUUGCCAAAUGUCUACAUUGCCUAUCUUGUACUUAAAACUAGCUAUUUUGUCUUAUGUGUAAUAACCAUGUGUGUGCAUUUUGUGAUGUUUAGAGUAAUCCUACAUGAUGGGUGACAUUACCUGUUUAUCGCUACCAAAUACUUGCUUCAAAUUGAUUCGUCAUCCAGAGACUGAAUGCUUCAGCAUGAUACAGUCAUUUGCAAAAAAAGGAGAGAAAGCAACAUCCUGUGGUAGAUAGAAGAGAAACAUUGUUCUGAUGAAUUAGAAAAAGAAGUAGCAGUUGAUCACAUAAUUUACUUGUGUAUUUCCCUAUUUCAAUUCAUUGUGGGUGUUUGAAUGAAGAAAAUAAAAUAUUUGGAAAAGUAGUUUUCUUGGUGGUGGAUCGUUUUCUUUAACGCCGCUACUACUAAACUGACACUGAAUAUCUUGCAUUUUUUCUUUUUCAGCAACUUCAUCCUGAAGCUCAUUCUUGUGUGUCAAAUAAAAACCUCCUCAAUA